GAGUUUGAUCCUGGCUCAGAAUCAACGCUGGCGGCGUGCCUAACAUAUGCAAGUCGAACGAGAAAGUGGAGCAAUCCAUGAGUAAAGUGGCGCACGGGUGAGUAACACGUGACUAACCUACCCUGGAGUGGGGGAUAAGUGGGAGAAAUCCUAGCUAAUACCGCAUAAUACCUACGGGUCAAAGGAGCAAUUCGUUUCAGGAGGGGGUCGCGGCCGAUUAGUUAGUUGGCGGGGUAAUGGCCCACCAAGACGAUGAUCGGUAUCCGGCCUGAGAGGGCGCACGGACACACUGGAACUGAAACACGGUCCAGACUCCUACGGGAGGCAGCAGUGGGGAAUUUUGCGCAAUGGGGGAAACCCUGACGCAGCAACGCCGCGUGGAGGAUGAAGUCCUUCGGGACGUAAACUCCUUUCGAUCGGGACGAUUAUGACGGUACCGGAAGAAGAAGCCCCGGCUAACUUCGUGCCAGCAGCCGCGGUAAUACGAGGGGGGCGAGCGUUGUUCGGAAUUAUUGGGCGUAAAGGGUGCGUAGGCGGUUUGGUAAGUCUGAUGUGAAAUCUAUGGGCUCAACUCAUAGUCUGCAUCGGAAACUGCCGGGCUUGAGUAUGGGAGAGGUGAGUGGAAUUCCUGGUGUAGCGGUGAAAUGCGUAGAUAUCAGGAGGAACACCUGUGGCGAAAGCGGCUCACUGGACCAUAACCGACGCUGAUGCACGAAAGCUAGGGGAGCAAACAGGAUUAGAUACCCUGGUAGUCCUAGCCCUAAACGAUGACUGCUUGGUGUGACGGGUACCCCAAUCCCGCCCGUACCGUACCAAACGCGUUAAGAAUCCGCCUGGCGAGUACGGUCCGCAAGGCUGAAACUCAAAGGAUUGACCGGGGGCCCGCACAAGCGGUGGAGAUGUGGUUUAAUUCGACCAACACGAAAAG
rnacentral:rRNA from 1 species